UCCUGGUUGGCUAAGUUGGUAGAGCGGUCCACUGGGAAUGGAGAGGUUCCGGGUUCGGUACCCGGAUCAGGCG
rfam:Ixodes scapularis strain Wikel colony gcontig_1108378790512, whole genome shotgun sequence.